GGGCUUUCCGCGUCCAUCUCCAUGGACGCUAGACUGGGGCAACGCCUGCGGGGUGCUGCCAUUGCUCUGCUCUGUAAAGCUGUUUCAUGUUGAGGCCACCAAGACAUCUGACCCGCUCAGACUCCCAGGAGCUUCCGGCGCUGGCAGUGUCCCAAAUAUUAAAAACAACAGUGGACAAUAGCGUACCAGGUUCUGAUGACUCCUUAUUUUAUGAGGAAUAUCAGGGUUCUGUUUAUCUCUACAAUCUGCCUGCACCAACAGUUUGAAUGAACAGGACCCUGAGCCAGCCAUAUGAGGAGAGAGAGGAGACCAAGAAAACCAACAGGCCAGGAAGGUAAAGGGGGGAAAAAAAGUGAAAAUGACCAGCAGAGUCAAAAUGGAUGGAUUAUAUAAGGAAGGACCCCAGAAGGGCAGCUCAGCACCUGGGCUGGAAGGUUCAGGGGGUGGAUUAUGCCAGCCAACCCUGUAACAGAUGUCUCUAUUCUAAAUGAGUCUUGAAGUGGAAAGUUCUGGUUUCCUUGGAAAGUUAUGACAAACAAUGUUUUGCUGGGGCACAAAGGUGAAAGGAUGUCUCGCUAAAGCAGACACGUGAAAGACUGUUUUCCUGAAGCAGACACAGGUGAAAGGGUGUUUGCAUAGAGCAAACUCGUGAAAGGACCUGUGAUGAAGGAGUAGAAAUAUGACCCCGCUGACAGUGGGAGACGAGUACAGAGCACUGGUUUGAUUCGCUCCACCUCAAUAUUCUUCUAUAACAACACUCAUGUAUUGGUUCGCCUUACAUUGAACUCAACUCUGAUACUGAGAGAAACUCAACAAAGAACUGCUCAUAAGGUUCCUAUGGUAGCUUGCUGCUUCUAAGGCCUCUCUCCUCAGGCCGGGUGACAAGCCUGGCAACUUCUCCAGGAUUGAACUACAGUUGCUGGUUCGUGAUUGGUGUCUGCCUGCCAAGAGGACUGGAAUGUAGUUGUUGGUUCAUGGUUGGUGUCUGCCUGCCUAGACUGGUCUGCAGCUGCUGAGUUGUAUUUGGUGUUUGCUACAGGACUGAUCUGCUGACCAAGAAGAUCAAGCUCACCCCAAAGAACUAUGGUUGAACAGGUCCACUUCCCCCAUCCUAAUAACUUGUCUCUUCCACUACCUCUGCUGGGUGGUGGACUAGAGGAGAGGUUGAACCCUUCUUAAAAGUAGGUUGCAAAAAAUGCUACAAAAUUCAUGUUCCCAGUUAUGCCUAUUUUACCUUGUAAGAUCCUGCAUUUGAAUGUAUGUUACAUUACAUCAUACUAUACUACACAGAGCUAUAUAGGCCAUCACGAGCCUCUUGAGGCUAGACACUUUAGAUGGUUUUUCCUCUUUGUGUUACUUCUCUGAAAUAGUAUUUGAGUGUUUGCUGAGAGACUGAAAUGAAUCCGUUUUGAGU
ensembl:processed_transcript uncharacterized LOC110305247